rnacentral:rRNA from 1 species
UACGGAGGGUGCAAGCGUUAUCCGGAUUCACUGGGUUUAAAGGGUGCGUAGGCGGGCUAGUAAGUCAGUGGUGAAAUCCCCGAGCUUAACUUGGGAACUGCCGUUGAUACUAUUAGUCUUGAAUAUCGUGGAGGUAAGCGGAAUAUGUCAUGUAGCGGUGAAAUGCUUAGAUAUGACAUAGAACACCAAUUGCGAAGGCAGCUUGCUACACGAUUAUUGACGCUGAGGCACGAAAGCGUGGGGAUCAAACAGGAUUAGAUACCCUGGUAGUCCACGCCCUAAACGAUGAUUACUCGACAUCAGCGAUACACUGUUGGUGUCUAAGCUAACGCAUUAAGUAAUCCACCUGGGAAGUACGAUCGCAAGAUUG